rnacentral:rRNA from 1 species
UACGUAGGGUGCGAGCGUUAAUCGGAAUUACUGGGCGUAAAGCGUGCGCAGGCGGUUCGUUGUGUCUGUGGUGAAAGCCCCGGGCUUAACCUGGGAAUUGCCAUGGAAACUGGCGAGCUGGAGUCUGGCAGAGGGGGGUGGAAUUCCGCGUGUAGCAGUGAAAUGCGUAGAGAUGCGGAGGAACACCGAUGGCGAAGGCAGCCCCCUGGGUCAAGACUGACGCUCAGGCACGAAAGCGUGGGGAGCAAACAGG